GCAUAACGCGAAGAACCUUACCUGGCCUUGACAUUGAUAGAAUCUGCUAGAGAUAGCGGAGUGCCCUUCGGGGAGCUUGAAAACAGGUGCUGUACGGCUGUCGUCAGCUCGUGUCGUGAGAUGUAUGGUUAAGUCCAUUAACGAGCGCAACCCUUGUGUUUAGUUGGAUUUUUCUAAACAGACUGCCCUGGUAACAGGGAGGAAGGAGGGGAUGAUGUCAGGUCAGUAUUUCCCUUACAUCUGGGGCUACAAACACGCUACAAUGGCCGGUACAAAGGGCAGCCAACCCGCAAGGGGGAGCUAAUCCCAUCAAAGCCGGUCUCAGUUCGGAUUGCAGGCUGAAACUCGCCUGCAUGAAGCUGGAAUCGCUAGUAACGGUAAGUCAGCACAUUACCGUGAAUACGUUCCCGGGUCUUGUACACACCG
rnacentral:rRNA from 1 species